GCUUAACUACGAGCGGUCAUUGGAAACUGGAAGACUUGAGGACAGAAGAGGAGAGUGGAAUUCCACGUGUAGCGGUGAAAUGCGUAGAGAUGUGGAGGAACACCAGUGGCGAAGGCGACUCUCUGGUCUGUAACUGACGCUGAGGCGCGAAAGCGUGGGGAGCGAACAGGAUUAGAUACCCUGGUAGUCCACGCCGUAAACGAUGAGUGCUAGGUGUUAGGGGGUUUCCGCCCCUUAGUGCUGCAGUUAACGCAUUAAGCACUCCGCCUGGGGAGUACGGCCGCAAGGCUGAAACUCAAAAGAAUUGACGGGGGCCCGCACAAGCGGUGGAGCAUGUGGUUUAAUUCGAAGCAACGCGAAGAACCUUACCAGGUCUUGACAUCCCUUUGACCGUCCUAGAGAUAGGGCUUUCCCUUCGGGGACAAAGGUGACAGGUGGUGCAUGGUUGUCGUCAGCUCGUGUCGUGAGAUGUUGGGUUAAGUCCCGUAACGAGCGCAACCCUUAAUAUUAGUUGCCAGCAUUAAGUUGGGCACUCUAAUGUGACUGCCGGUGACAAACCGGAGGAAGGUGGGGAUGACGUCAAAUCAUCAUGCCCUUUAUGACCUGGGCUACACACGUGCUACAAUGGAUGGUACAACG
rnacentral:rRNA from 1 species